UGGCGGACGGGUGAGUAACACGUGGGUAACCUGCCCAGAAGCAGGGGAUAACACCUGGAAACAGAUGCUAAUACCGUAUAACAGAGAAAACCGCCUGGUUUUCUUUUAAAAGAUGGCUCUGCUAUCACUUCUGGAUGGACCCGCGGCGCAUUAGCUAGUUGGUGAGGUAACGGCUCACCAAGGCGAUGAUGCGUAGCCGACCUGAGAGGGUAAUCGGCCACAUUGGGACUGAGACACGGCCCAGACUCCUACGGGAGGCAGCAGUAGGGAAUCUUCCACAAUGGACGCAAGUCUGAUGGAGCAACGCCGCGUGAGUGAAGAAGGGUUUCGGCUCGUAAAGCUCUGUUGUUAAAGAAGAACGUGGGUGAGAGUAACUGUUCACCCAGUGACGGUAUUUAACCAGAAAGCCACGGCUAACUACGUGCCAGCAGCCGCGGUAAUACGUAGGUGGCAAGCGUUAUCC
rnacentral:rRNA from 1 species